GGGGCGCCGGGGCGGCCAGGCCUGAGGUGGUGCCGGAGCCACGGGGAAGGAGCGGGUGGGAGAGUCUGAGGGGCUGCGGAACCGCGGGGAGAAGAGGCGGUCGGGAGUUGGAGGCGCGGGAGUGAGAACGGGAGCCUGACCGAGACUUGGGGGCGUCGAUCGGAGCCCGAGGAUACUGCUGGCUUAGAGGCGCCACGUCGUGGGGCUCGUCGCUCCGAAGCGGGGAGGGAACACCCAGGAAGCCGACGUGGGGAGCUGGAGUAGCGGGGGCGGACGAGGAGGGGACGCAGCUUUUAAUGAAGGCGGACGGGAGCCCGGGCCGUGUGGCUCAGUUGGUUGAGCGUUGGCCUGUGCAUCAAAAGGUUGCCUGUUGGAUUCCCUGUCAGGGCUCAUCCCCGGUUGUGGAUUCGGUCCUGGGACCCUAUGUUUCUCUUUCACAUUGAUGUUUCUCUCUUUCUCUCCCUCUCCCUUCGUCUCUCUAAAAUCAAUAAAAAAUUAAAAAAAAAUAAAGGUGGCAUUUGUGUUUAAGGAGGAGAGGGCGAGUGGUGUAGGCGUGAUCUGCAGGAGAGUGGGGGUCUGGGGCGUAGGGGCUCGUAGCAUUCUGCUGGGCCCCGUAAGACAGGUGACAUGUUUGAAAAACGGGAGGCGUUGGGGGAAAGGGCGUCCAGGAGAAAACUGAGCAGAAUGCUAGAGUCCUAAGGAGGGGUUGAAAAAUCAGGGAGCCGUGGAUGUGGAGGUGGAGGGAAGGUGGGUGGAAAGCUGAGGGGGUGGGUUGACUGCAGUAGGGGAUCUGGAAAGCGCUGCGUGGCUCGAAAGGAGAUGGGCAAGAAGGCUGGGUUUGCUGGGGAGGGUUGAGUGUUGGGCAUUCUAGGAUAGUGGUUGGGAGAGUAAAAAGGAGUUUCUAAAUAAGGAGAGGAAAACUGAGCAAAGGACGGGGAAGAAGGGUUGUAACUGAGGUAGGGGGAAUAUUUAUUAGGGAAAUGAGGGUGCCUGGGUAUAGACAUGGAGGUGGGUGAGGACAGAAAAUAAGGGGAGGGAGUAAGAUGCAGGGAGCCGGCGGUGUACUGCUGGUUUGCUGUGGGGGAUAUAUUAAGGAAGGGAGCAGCUGAGUGUGGCAGCGCUUAUGGUAGUGAGUGGGCCUUGGGAAGGCAGGGGCACAUACCUGGGACUGCAGUGGGAUUGAGGACAGUUACUGGAGAGGAGAUGGAAGACGUGGGUUUUAAUAUCUAAAAGUUUCAAGACAGAAGAAAGAUUAUUUCUGAGAACAUAAAAGUAUUACUUGGGAUGUGUGUACUGUAGAGUAUAGUGCAAACGAGAGAAUUGGUUUUAAGCUGAAGUUCUUUAGAGAAUAUGGAGAAAUGGGGAAUCAUGGUGAUAUGGGAUCUAUUUUGGACAGAAAAGAUUCUGAUUGUUGAAGGUGUGUGUGACAAUUCAGCUGCUGAAUUGGUAUUUCAGAGGCAUUGUGAACAGGUUUUUGCUCUUGUGGAAACAACCUUUAAGAGAUUUAAAAAAUAUUUUUAUAGGAAAGAAUUUAUGAGAAGUCAGUAGUGGAGAGUGAACUAUACAUUAUUUUUGCUAAUCCUUCAGUGCUUCUUUGCUGUUAGGCUAGAUUAUUCUUGUAGGAAUAGCUGAAAUUUAAAUGACUUUCAUUAAAAAAAACCAAAAACACAGUGAUAGAGCCAAUGGAGUUAAGCAUUCUAAGGAGAAUGCAGUCUUAAAAUGCUUAAGAUUACAGUGAAAAUUUAUCUAAUAAAGGAUUGAAAAAACAUCAUGGAUUAAUUUUAAGUGUUGUACCAAAUUGUACCUUUCAAAUCCUAUUUAUUCUUGAUGGCCUUGAAUUAUCACUGCAGGGAUCAGGAAGGAAACAUUUUCUGUCUAUAGCAUUGAAUGUGUGAAGUAUAUUGGGUAUUUUCCUGUUUUUCCCCAAAGAUGAAGUCACUGUGGAAGGCAGCAUAGAGUUAGAAUGAUUUGUCUUACCAGUUUUUAGUUGUGUGUUAACAAUAUGACUUAAAGAAGCCCAAUACUAAUUUUAGCUAUUUGAUUUGUGGAAAUAGCAUGGUUUCAUUUGGCACCAUAGAUGAAAUAUUCUUGAUCUUAACAUUAACAUCUUUAAUCUCUGCUAGCAUAGCAUCUUUCAAUGACUGAUAAUAUAGCAGAAUUGUAGUUUCUUAGCAACUAAAGCAAGGUUUUUGGAUAGGCCUUCAGAUUUAUCUGGCUGUUCUCAGUGAUAUGUGUUCUAAAUACGGCAUAGUGCAGCCUUUUUCUUGAAACAAGCUUAAGUUCAGUCACAUGACAAGACUAGUAAAGUGAAGCUGCAUUUGUAGUUGACCCAAAGGAAUGUAAGUUUAAUUAAUGAAGAAAUGACUAUUAUUUGAGUUUGAAUCCACAUAGGUAAGGAUGCUUUUUAAAAAAAUACCUUUCUAUAACUUAGUAAGAUUCAAACUUUCAAUUGGUAAUAGCCCUGUAAUAAAUAGAGUGACCUCAUGUCAUGGAGUUUGUAUUUUCUUUUCUUUUUUUAAUUUUAAUUAAAAAAUUAGAAUAUAUUUAUCAGACUUUUCAAAACUGUCAUUCUUGAGAUGUUUUUGUUUAGAGUUCCAGAAGCAUUUAUUUUGUGCUCAGUGGUACUAGGGUUGUGAGAACUAACUGAAGCAAGUUGUCUCUUGCUGGAAGGGAUUGGUUCUGAAAAACAAUCAGAUGUGGAAGGGUGAAACUGAACUCCCUGGUGAAAAGAAAUAGAGAAUGUUUGUAGAUGUGAGGGUGAUCUACUGCACUGUCUGUUCUGACAGCAGAUUCCUUUCUCAUAUUCCUCCAGAGCUCUGCAGUGGAGUGUAUUUCUCAGCUUGAACAGGACCCUCUUCUGUUAAAGCAAACAUUGAUACGUACAAUGCACAUGUGAUUGGAACUCUACUAGAACUUUGUCAGCCUUAUUUCAUUUGAUACACUCAAUGGCGGCUGAUGGUGUAUGCUCUGUACCACACAGGCUCCUCUGGGGUUAGAUGGUUAGAUCCCAGUCCCUUUAUUCUUUUUUUAAAAAAUUUUUUUAGUUUUUUUAUUGAUUAAGUUAUUACAUAUGUGUCCUUAUCCCCACGUUACCCUCCAUCCCCCCACUCAUGCCCUCACCCCCCUGUUGUCCAUGUCCCUUUAGUCUUUAGUGGGGUGAUCAUGGGCAAGUUAUUUAAUUCUCUGGACUCUUGAUUUCCUCAUCUUCUCUGAUGCGGUUGGCUGUGUGCUCAGAUCUCAGACCUGUUAGAGAAGCAAGGCAGUGGCAGUGACUCCAGAGGUGGAGGAGUCUUGUUAAUGCUGUCAUCUUGAAUGCAAUUAAGUGGACUAUUUGAAGGUCCCAGAGAGUUCCACUUUUGCAUAUGUAACUUUAAGAAAAGUGAGGAGCAGUACUGCACUUUCAAAUUCUGACUGAGGAAGACCUGGAAACUUUGGGGCCAUAGCCGCAUCGGCAAGCAAAGGAAGCACCUGGGGAGCCAAGGUAAUGCUGAUGGCUUGCAUCAUCACAGGAUCAACUUCAACAAAUAUUGAAAGUUGGAUAUGAGGCAUUACCACUUAAAGAGGAACCAGAGCUUCUGCCCAACUGUCAACCUGGAUAAACUAUGGACCCUGGUCAGUGAGCAGACACGGGUAAAGGCUGCCAAAAGCAAGACUGGAGCUGCUCCUAUCAUUGAUGUGGUGCGAUCGGGCUACUACAAAGUUCUGGGGAAGGGAAAGCUCCCAAAGCAGCCUGUCAUCGUGAAGGCCAAGUUCUUCAGAAGAGCUGAGGAGAAGAUUAAGGGUGUUGGUGGGGACUGUGUCCUGGUAGCUUCAAGCUACAUGGAGGGAAGUUCAUUAAAAUGUCCACAAGUGAAAAAAAAAA